AACGAACGCUGGCGGCAUGCCUAACACAUGCAAGUCGAACGAGACCUUCGGGUCUAGUGGCGCACGGGUGCGUAACGUGUGGAACCUGCCCUUAGGGUCGGAAUAACUCCCCGAAAGGGGGGCUAAUACCGGAUAAUGUCUUCGGACCAAAGAUUUAUCGCCUUUGGAUGGGCCCGCGUUGGAUUAGCUAGUUGGUAGGGUAAAAGCCUACCAAGGCGACGAUCCAUAGCUGGUCUGAGAGGAUGAUCAGCCACACUGGGACUGAGACACGGCCCAGACUCCUACGGGAGGCAGCAGUGGGGAAUAUUGGACAAUGGGCGAAAGCCUGAUCCAGCAAUGCCGCGUGAGUGAUGAAGGCCUUAGGGUUGUAAAGCUCUUUUACCCGGGAUGAUAAUGACAGUACCGGGAGAAUAAGCUCCGGCUAACUCCGUG
rnacentral:rRNA from 1 species